rnacentral:rRNA from 1 species
GAACCAGUACUAGAAGGUUCGAUAAGUCUUUCGCCCCCAUGCUCAUAUUUGACGAUCGAUUUGNACGUCAGAACCGCUGCGAGCCUCCAUCAGAGUUUCCUCUGACUUCACCCUAUACAAGCAUAGUUCACCUUCUUUCGGGUCCGGCCCAAUAUGCUCAUACUCAAAUCCAUCCGAAGACAUCAGGAUCGGUCGAUGAUGCGCCGAAGCUCUCACCUCCGUUCACUUUCAUUUCGCGCAGGGGUUUUACACCCUAACACUCGCAUACUAGGACGACUCCUUGGUCCGUGUUUCAAGACGGGUCGCUGAUAACCAUUACGCCAGCAUCCAUGCAGAUGCGCGAACCUCAGUCCGCAGCAGGGUAUUACAGCGGGCUAUAACACUCCGAAGAGCCACGUUCCCGCUGAUUUUCUCCCCCGCCGCGAACUGAUGCUGGCCUGAGCCGGCGGAGUGCACCGCCCAGAAGGACGGCUGAACCGCCGGGCACAAGUCUGGUCACAAGCGCUUCCCUUUUAACAAUUUCACGUGCUGUUUAACUCUCUUUUCAAAGUGCUUUUCAUCUUUCGAUCACUCUACUUGUGCGCUAUCGGUCUCUGGCCAGUAUUUAGCUUUAGAAGGGGUUUACCUCCCAUUUAGAGCAGCAUUCCCAAACUACUCGACUCGUCGAAGGAACUUUACAGAGGCUCGGAAUCCGACCGUACGGGGCUGUUACCCUCUGCGGCGUCCCGUUCCAGGGAACUCGGAAGGCUCCUUGCCAAAAGUUUCCUCUGCAAAUUACAACUCGGGCCCCAAGGGACCAGAUUUCAAAUUUGAGCUGUUGCCGCUUCACUCGCCGUUACUGAGGCAAUCCCUGUUGGUUUCUUUUCCUCCNCUUAGUGAUA